rnacentral:tRNA from 1 species
AGUAGAGUGUCUGAGGUUUAGGUUGUAGAUUGUAAAUCUAUAUAGGAGAUUGGUAAUCUUCUCUGCUA